rnacentral:lncRNA from 1 species
CUCUUGCUGAUUAUACCGUGAUCUUUCCCGCCCUCCAGCAUCAUUCUCCUGUGAUCUCCAUCACGAACUGCUCGAGAUCGUCCUCUUCAGAGACGAGUGCUUCCCCCGCCUCUGCGCAGCUCAGCUGCUGUGUCUCAGCUGCGUCUUGUGAGGAAUAGGAUGGUGCACUUGAGACCUCCGACUGUGCCACGGAGUCCGCCUGGCUUCCUGGAAGCAGUUCCAGGCUUGGGAGGACAAGGAAGAGAACAAUCGGUACGUGACAUCUCUAACUGGAGAAGCGCUUUCAGCAAGAAGUCGUCCUCUGCGAAAACCUGUUUACUGACUGAGCUACUUUUCCCCACGACUUACUCAGCAGAGAUUUUGAGUAAGCAAUUGAAAUCAUUUCAGAGGACCUGUUCCUUUGUUGGAUUAUGCCACGACACAUCUCAAACACCCCCUUCUCCCCCUGAUGUGAAAGAACUUAUGUCUAAUGGAAAAAGGGCACUGAUGAUGAACGAGUUGUGGUCAUCACCUGCUUGGAGGUGUUUCGACUGCAGGAAUGGUCACCAGGCUGUCCCCGGGCAG